GAAUUUUCUUGAAUUUGGAUUAUUGAGUAUUAUCCAAGUUGUAUGUUGGUCUUCUUUGUAGCACUUGCGGAAGGAUCAAGUCAGAGCCAAAAGGCGGAACCGGUAAAAGAAGCAACAACCAUGAAGAACCAAAAAUACCAAGGAGUAAAUAAAGCUCAAAUUCCACAGGUUUUAUACGCAUGGCCGUAGUUCCACUAGUACAACUAGUCUAGCGCACUCGAUGCAUAUCUAAGGAUUUAGAAGCAAAACCACACAAUGCUCCUGGCUGCAAAAUUAGUGUACCGCUUCUGCUACUUCCUCAGGGAACACAUUGUUGGAAUUGAUCUCAGUGUAACAAACUGAGAGAAAUCAGGGAGAGACAAAGUCUCCUCACCUAACGUAAAGAUGCACCACGAUCGGAGGUGCCAAACCAAUGUUUUGGUCCGGUCCCUGUUCCCUAGCGCUUAUACAUAAAAAGGAGGUAUAUGUCCCAUGUAGGGAUGACGAUUACAAACACACAGAACCUCAACUGCCGAUCGUAAAGAACCGCCAAGGGUCCAGAAGACCGUCCACCACCGCCGGCCACCAGGAGGGUAGUGCCGGCGGCGUCCAGCACUCUGCACGUCCAUCUCCAUGCUGCUGCUUCUUCCCCAACAAACUCCACUCCCCUAGAGGCUCAUGGGAGCUGCAUGAAGCCCCUGACAGUCUUUGAAAAAUCACGGUUAGUUCCCAAUAUUCUACAGAAAGAGGUGUUUUAAUCUAGAGAUCAAGAUCCUAUUAUGUUAGUACUAAAGAAUUAUUUCUAACAUUGGUAUCAUGAGCACGAUUGAUCUCUGUUUACAACCCUAACUAGACCAUGUUAAAUCUUAAUUAUUAAUGUCAUGGUCUAACUUUUUGUAUUAGUGCUUCUAAUUGGUCAUGAUUAGAUUAUAACGUUUUACUGUUAGCACAUUAGGAUUAUGUGUUAAGAUCAAAUUAUGCAGGCUUAAGAUUAAUGAUUAAAGUAUAAGAAUCUGUUAAGUUGACGAUCCAUGUUUAGGGUUAAUUGCUUCGGUUAAGAUUCUAAUUGCUAUUGGUUAGUGUUAAUUCGAUGAUGAUGAUGUUCAACUGUUAGACUAAUUGAGCCAUGCUUCCGCAUUAUGUUAAUCUUUCAACUAGUCCUGUUUAAGCAAUCAGAAAGGGGGAAUUGCAAACUCCAGAAAAUCCCCAAUUUGAAACCCUAGAACGAGGAAUUCCGCAAAUCAGCGCCCAAAAAUGAUGUAAUUGAGAAAAAGAAGAGCUUUUGGGGCACACCUCAUGAUGUCGCACCGGUGCACCUUCGGGAUCCCGACGCCGGUGACGCUGUCGUCUCGGGAGACGACGCGCUGAAAGAAUCGGACGCCGCUGAGCUGCUAAAGGACGACGCGCCGAGUGUUUAGAGCCGCCGGCGCCGCUAUUAUGGAUGUGCACGUGUGAGGCCAUCGCCGUGCAUGCCGCCAUCGCCUCCUAAAUCCGCGGUGGCCGGUGCAUCCCUCCCCACCGUACGAAUCGCCGGGCGUGCGCGGACGCAGAGGCCUCGUUCGAUGGCAAAGCGCGGGGGAUCCAAUCCGCUGCACGCUUGGCCGGCGAGCGGAGCUCCCGCGCCGCCAUGGCUGGCGAGCUCAUCGAGCCGCUGUUGUUGUCGCCGCUCUGUGCGAGAGCGUGAAAUCCGGGGGAGGAGGAGGUCAAAUGACCUAGGGUUAGCUCGGGCGGCGAUUUUGUUCCGUUCGCGAGCGAUGCCGACCGUCCGUUUCGAUCGGACGGUUCGCAAGAAAUCGCGGCUCCGAGCAGCCAAUCGGACGCCAUAUAGGCUGUUUUCACGACCGGAUUGUUGCCCAAGUUGCCUCAGCCCAGCAGAAAAGUUUGUUUUUUUACGUGUAGCUGCUAUGCUACUGGGCUUAAUUUGGGUAGCCGUGGGUAUUUUUGGGCCAUUUUUUUUGGCAGUUUUUUGUAAUUUUGGCAAUGCGUUUAAGUUUUUUUUUGCUAUCCACAGUAAUAAAUUUAAGAGCUGCCAGAAAAUGUGUUAAAGAUUUUGCUUAUGUCAUCUUUUAAGCAAUUAAGAUUUAUGUCAUUUUAUGGAAUCCUUCAAUGAUGAUAAGAUUUUGUUAAUAGAACGUCGUGGGUUGUUAUGGGCAUUUUAUGAAGUUUUAGUGCACUUUUUAAGUUUAUAAUUAUGUUUAUGCACUAAUAUAUUAGAAAUUGCCUAUAAUUAUGUUUAAAUUUUUCUGAAUAAAAUUGUGCCAAAGGGAAAUUUAUUUGGAAAUUUAUUGUGACAUUAAUGUUGAUGCCAUCUUAAUGACACCUUUUAUGAUGAUCAUAUUUUCGGUGUCAUUUCAAUGAUGAAAUUAAUGUGAAUCACUCAUUGGAUUUUCUGAAAAUUUUAUUUGAAAAUUUUAAUUGAGUGUGAAUUUUACGUUGAUGCCAUACUUAUGGCAUUUUUUUAAUGAUGUGAUCGUCACUAAAUGGUCGCGUGGUGUGGUUUUCCAUACCUCACGGUGCAUCUAAUAAUGUUGAGCUAGUGUGCUCGUUGACAAAUACUAAAGAUUAUGUUGGUUCAUUUCUAUUGUAUAAUUAAAACAUGCACUAUUGAAAUAAGCUUAAAUGGACCAUAGUGGUAUUGAUAAAAUUAUGGUUGAUUCUCUAAACAAAGAAAUUUUGUUUAAAGAACUUUAUGUGAUAUGCAAAAUCCUAGUCAUUAUAUGACUUUUUUAUGAAAUCUAUCCAAAGUACGUGUUGCCUUUUAUCUGACCGUUAUAAUUUACCAAAUAUUAUUAUUUGGUGAAUCCUUGUGUAAGCUUAUGUCCAAAUUUUAUAUAAUUGUUUUUGGGGAAAAUCUUAUGAUAUCCUUACGAUAAUGUUAAUGUCAUUUUCACUGUGAAUGUUAAUAUUAAUGUUUACUCAGCAGCAAAGACAUUUAUAUUUUUAUGUUAAUUCUAUGUCAUUUUCAUUUAUGCCUUUGAGAAAUUUUUAUGAUAACUUUGACACUUAAGUUAACUAUUAUUAUCAGUGUCAAUUUUCGUGACAAAAUGUAUCAUUGUGUAUGAUGGCAAACAUGGUUUUAUGUUGUUGCUUUAUGGUAAUUUAGCUAUUAAUUUAGCCGAAGUUCUUGCUCAUAAUUAUGUGCUUUUAUGACUCUCUAGUCAAAAUGGAACCAACGGGAAGUUUUGAUUAGAUAUCUAAAAAAUGUUAUAAUGGCAUAUGAUGAUAUUCUGACCAACGUUGAUUAUUUUCAUGUGUCAUUUAUGAAUAUGGAUCAAAAUAACAAUUAAGCAUCUCUUUGAUUCAUCUCAUUGCAUGGUUAAUUCAUGCUUGAUGUUUUGUUGUGGUGCUCAUAAUGGUGUCUUUUUUUUAGCAAUGAACAUUAAUAAUGAUGCCAAACUUCCGUUUUGGCAUAGACGUACCUUAUGUAAAUAACUUUUGCACAUGGAGGAAUCUCCCAGUGUUUUCUUUGCCACUAAGGUUGAAGGAUGUUAAUCAUGAUGAUAAGGCAGACAUUGGGAGAGAUUGUCACAUCCCUGCUUUUAGUCAUGCAUUAGGAUUGGAUGAACAUGUGCAUCAUGUUUAAAUUUCUCUUAAACUUGAAAUGGGGCCUAAUCAACCCCAACACCCCCCUGAAAAUGCUAAAUUCCAACAAUUGGAAUUUCAAUGAACCCAAAAUUCCCUUCAUAAAAGCCCACCAUUUUUGGUCUUGACUAAAACCUCUGCAAAAAAUGGUCUCGCAAUUUAUGGAGCCAUUCUGGAUUUUUGAACAAGCCAUAAGUAUUUGAAUUUGGGCAUUUUAAAUGCUAUAAAUAUUUUAAAGUGCUCAAAUAAUCUUGGAAGCAUCCCCUCCGAUGGGUUUUAUGUAGAUCUCGACGUCGAUGAGUGACUUGCCACCCAGAUGGUGAUCCUGGCCAUGGAGGGCCCUAUGUAGAUAGACAGGCUUCGAGAAGCCUUCUUUCUUUCUAGUGUCUGUACUCAGACUAUUUGCUUCCGCAUGUGCUUGUAUGCUUGUAUGACUUGAGUGUCGGGUCAUGUGACCCCUACCUGUAUGAACAUGUUAUGUAUGGCUCUCUGGAGCCUUUAAAUAAAGUACUUGAGUUGUAGAGUUUCGUUGUGAUGCCAUGUUGUAUUUACACAUAUCGAGCAUAUUGUGUGUAUGAUUGAAAUGCUUGGUAUGUGUGGGAUCCGACAAUCUAGUUGUUUAUCCUUGGCAGCCUUUCUUAUGGGGAAUGUAGUCUAGUGUUCCUCGAGCCAUAGUAGUCCGCUACAGCCCGGUUCACCGGAGUCCUGCUAGCCCAGCACUACUGCUCAGGACACUUGACUGACCGGCAUGUGUUUCACUUCGUUCCUAUGUUUGUCCCUUCGGGGAAAUGUCACGCGGUGACUUCCGGAGUCCUGCCUAGCCUGCUAUAGCCCGGGUUCCCCGGAGUCCUGUUAGCCCAGUGCUACAGCCCGGAUUCACACGCUGAUGACCGACAUGCUCGAUGUGAUUCACGUAUGCCUGUCUCCAUAGGUCUGUGCCGCUUUGGAUUCACGACUAGCCAUGUCGGCCCGGAUUCUCUGUCAUAUGGAUGCUAGCGACACUAUCAUAUACGUGAGCCAAAAGGCGCAAACGGUCCCGGACCAUGGUAAGGCGACACCCGUGGGGAUACCAUGCGUGAGGCUGCAAUGUGAUAUGAGGUGUUACCAGCUAGAUCGAUGUGACUUGGAAUCGGGGUCCUGACAGAGAUCUCAAGACGCAUGUGCCAUCAUGCAUGUUACUAAUGCAAAGGAUAUUAAAGUCAAAACUAUUGGAUUUAUUCCACUAGCUUUUGGAGAUAACUUCAUUCUUCAUCUUAUUGAUGAUGUUUGUUCAUGCUCCAGUUAUUGGAGAACCUUAAUUUUGUCUCUCGAACAGAUGACAUGAUUUUGUAUUAAGUCAUCUCCAAUUAUGUAAUGUUAGUCCCACUCUAGGGUGAUACAAGUUAUGUUUUCACUGAAUGAAUCAUUUGUAAAGAUUAAGUGAUAUGGUAUAACUAAAGAUAUAAGAGAAUUUUAAGAGACCUUAUCAAAUUUGUGGUUUUCGGCCACAUUUCGAGGGGGGGAAUGGAAGUCUUGUUUAAUAUGAGAUAUCACGUUCACUUCUCCUACUUAUAUCAUAUAAAGCUAAGAAAAACAUGUGCGUUAAUUCUCUAAUUAAGAUGGAACCAACGAGAAGUCUUGGUUGGAGAAUGUAUGAAAAGCACACACUAAUUUUGGUUCUCUAAUUAAGAUGCAACAAGUCUUAUUUAGAAGAAUGAACGAAAAAUCACUCCCUUUAUUAUGUUAAUGUGUAAUCCCUUAUGAGCAUUAUGAAGCACACAUGAAUGCUAAAGUGACAAGGUUGCUUGUGUAAUGAUCAUCAUGAUGUAACAUGUUGAUUAUAUAUUUGACCAACGUCGUUUAUAAUCAUAUGCAACGUCGUUUAUAAUCAUAUGUCACAUUUCACUCAAGUGGCAAGUUUGUUAGUAUCAUGUGGCUCGUGGUUAUAUUUCAUUUAUAAUCAUUUGUCACCGUUCAUUAAGUUCUUUUCCAUCUUCAGCCCGAUGGUGUUAUGGUUUAGAACUAAAAUGAUUAUUAUUAAGUUUUUGGGUAUGUUUUACAUCUUUUAAAUAAAGUGAUCAUCAGGGAACCUAGAGCGUAUGAGCAUGAAUCUUAAGGAUAACUCCAUUAGAUCUUUGUUCAUAUGCAUCAGGGAAGGUGAGAAGAAAUACAUAUUGCAACACUUAAUGUUGAGACUUAACAAUUUCCCUGUGAUUGAUAAUGUGUGUGAAUGAUCAUCUUAGAGGCUUGUCUGAUAGUGAGCUUUAAUGAUGUAUGGAACUCAGUAGAGUUUCCUCAUUAAGUUGUUAUGACGCUUGUGUUAUGAUUAUAACAUGCUCUUGUGUUGACUAAUUAAUAGUGUAUAUAUGACUCAACCAUCGGGCUUUGUCAAAUAGAUGAAGUUAACACAAGGUAUGUUGCCGAUCACAAAUAAGGGCAUGUUCAUACUUGAAUACACAUGUUGCUUCUGACAGCUGAAGCAUAAGGAACCACAUUAUCUGAUCAGUUCAUAAUGGUUCCUUGGACACUAAAAUGUCCACCUUUAUUGCCCUUAACUUUAGCGGCAGGUGAGAUAGAGUACUACCACAUAAUAUUUUCUUUCGUACUCUAUCGAAGUAUGUCGUCAUAAGAGAACUUAUACUCCUUUUGGACCUAUAUCUUGAUGAAGCCCGAUACAAAUAAAGUAUAAGGCAUCACCAAGUUCCUUUUAUGUCAAUAGAAGAUAGAAAUUUCUUGGCCUGCCAAAAAAUAUUCCAACUUCACAUUUAGUGAACUUACUCCCCUUUGUCCCAACACUCGUCUUAUUUCAUAAUUGAAUUUCUUGAGGCAAAAAUUGGCAAAUAUACAAGUAAGUCCAAAAAUGGACCACUAGAAAAGCCAUCAAAAGUCUUGCAGAUAUGCAAGACAAUAAAGUUUACAUGCUCACUGAUGAGAAGUCUGAUAACCUGGUUAUCCUAGGUUAUUUAGACAUUGUUUCUGCGAGAUGUGUGGAUAUUAAAGUUUCCACGUCAUGUUACAUCCUCACUCUCGCAUAUGGAGCUAUAUCGUGGAAAAGCUCCAUAAUGACGCUGAUGGCAUUAGAAAUAAUGCACUUAAUUAUGUGGCAUGUUAAGAGGCUAUUGGGCAGGUUAUAUGUCAAGAAAUUUAUUCCCAAAAUUAUGGUGGUAGAUAGCAUUUUGUAACCACAUACUGCAAUAUCAAUCGCAGUUUUCUAUGCGAGUAACAACAAGUUAAAAUGGUGUUGCCAAAACCGUUGACAAUAUGUUUAGUGUUGUGAAAGAUAGAAUCCAGGAUCAAGCUAUUGAAGUUGAGAGUAUGAGUAUGUUUGAAUGUUUGACGCAUCCGUUUAUCAAAGGCUUACCACCCAAUUGUAUGAUCAUGUUGCUAGCAUGGGUUUAGAAAGCCUUUUGAUCCUGGAAUUUAGGACCGUCAAAUGAACCAACUCCCUUUAAGUAAAAUGAUAUCCAUUUUGAGAUAAAAUGGUAUACUGUAAUUAUUGAGGUUCAAUGACAUUUCAUUGGUCAUUGCAACACCUUACUUUGGUAUAUUAUUUCUAUGAUAAAAGUGUGCUUAUGAUGUUUGUUAACCUUACGAUCAAGGGGGAGAAUGCUGGAAUUGAUCUCAGUGUAACAAACUGAGAGAAAUCAGGGAGAGACAAAGUCUCCUCACCUAACGUAAAGAUGCACCACGAUCGGAGGUACCAAACCAACGUUUUGGUCCGGUCCCUGUUUCCUAGCGCUUAUACAUAAAAGGGAGGUAUAUGUCCCAUGUAGGGAUGACGAUUACAAACACAGAGAACCUCAACUGCCGAUCCUAAAGAAGCGCCAAGGGUCCAGAAGACCAUCCACCACCGCCGGCCAUCAGGAGGGUAGUGCCGGCGGCGUCCAGCACUCUGCACGUCCAUCUCCAUG
rnacentral:lncRNA from 1 species